UACGGAGGAUCCAAGCGUUAUCCGGAAUCAUUGGGUUUAAAGGGUCCGUAGGCGGUUUAAUAAGUCAGUGGUGAAAGCCCAUCGCUCAACGGUGGAACGGCCAUUGAUACUGCUAAACUUGAAUUAUUAGGAAGUAACUAGAAUAUGUAGCGUAGCGGUGAAAUGCUUAGAGAUUACAUGGAAUACCAAUUGCGAGGGCAGGUUACUACUAAUGGAUUGACGCUGAUGGACGAAAGCGUGGGUAGCGAACAGG
rnacentral:rRNA from 1 species